AACAAACCUGUGAGUCAUUCUCUGAGCCGGUGACAAAUAGCUGAUGGCCCGCUGCGGCAGGUUUCCAGCUUUAUUUUCUUCUGGGAUCAAACUCAUUGGGAAGGAAUUACAGUUUAGGGUCAUUUUGGGACUCAACAGAUGGAAACCAAGUUCAUCGUGUAAGAAACUUUAAUCGACCAAAACUUAAGAUGGUGGAGAUCAUUAACACUUAGAACUCAGCUGGAUCGAAGGCGAUUCCAUGUGACACCAUUGAUAUUGUUUACAGUUUCUUGGGAACUCUACCGUAUAUCUCUAUGGGAUGAAACGUGUUCAAAAGCUUACCCUUUUGGUGAUCUAUCAAGGGUUUCCAGGCAUUUCUACACCUGCCACAAGGUUUACAAUCGAGCCACAAAAAUAGGUGUUUGAUCAGAGACGUUUGAUGGUAAAUCCGCAGUGAUAUACUGGUGAAAACAUGAUUAUUUAUCAGAUUGUUGUGAUAGAAAAAGAUCACUAUCGCUAAAUGCCGCUAAUGUCUUCCGGGUUAGACAAGCUGUUUUGAUAGCGUCUUUCUCUGUCAAACUUCGACCAAUUACAUGGUCUCAUAUUCUUCUUCUAUUGUUCCCCUGACGGUAGUGUCCAAUAAGAGGAAACCAAAGAUCAACGAGAGACAAGAAAGUUUCCUGCUUGUCUGCAAAAUUAGAAAUAAUGGUCCUCAAUGCUUGGAAACAAGCAAAGAAGAGAUUAUGAGCAGUAUGAUGCGGCCCUCUGACAGGAACUGCUUCAAGGAGUGGCAAAAACAACUGUAAAUAGCAAAAAAAACACCUGGAAAAAUUAGUGUAAAUAUGUUAAUAGUUUCUGUUGUGAGUUUGUUCCAAUCCCAAUAUUUCUUCUCCUGAUAGCCAAGACUUAACAGAAUGAUGUGCAGGUGAGAAAAGGCUUGGUCACUGUAGAUUCAUGUGUUUUUUGAGCAAAGUACUGUUGGUUUGGUUGACUUUGAUGGUUCUGAAUCUACUGUCACAUUCAACUGACAGCUGAGGUUGUCCUGAAAAAAAAGAUGUGUAUAUAUUUGCUGUGCUGGAAAGGACAGAGUUGCUACAUAGACAUGGGCGGACCAAAAAUAGCAAAAUAUAGCUGGGAGUUCUAAGGGUUAAAUGAAAACUUCAUCUGAAUCUACAGAAAAGAUGUAAAAUGUGCAGGACCAGACUUGGUAAACCCAGAAAUCUCAAACUCUAACAAGCAAAUACCUUUAUUUUGUUAAUCUCGAGUUUCUUCCAAUGAGAAAUACAGAAAUGUACAGAGUAAUGAUCCCUAACAGACAUCAGCUGCAGUAUUGUCCCACUGUAAUACACACACACACACACACACACACACACUGACAAACCUUCCACUGUUUCACCCGGUCCACCUCUCCAGGUGUUCCCAUUGAAAUCACAGCUACCUCCCCUCACUCUCUCAACCUGGUGCUGCUCAGGCCGUACCCGUGACAGUGCCUGAAUGCAUUCAUAAACACUGGGAGGACUGACAACUCAAUGGGCCGCCUAUUCCCCCACUAUCGGCUUACAGCCUAUAAUUACAGCCAAUCAUCUUGGAUCAAGCAUGUCUGCGUGAACAGGCCAACGUAACAUCUGCUGCCCGGGCCGGCAGGCCAAGAAGGACUUUCAUACUGAAAGGUGAGCUAAUUGCGGCUGAGGAUAGGAGGAGGGAGUUAACAGGUACGAAGGGCUAUUCAUGAACCUACACACAGGGGAUAUUUUUUUCCUUGGAGCAGGUGCUCUUAGAUAUUUUCUUAUCUUUGGCGAGGUGGUGCAGAAGUCUUGCCUGCAUUAAGAAAUGCUCAAGGGCAUUACCACAAAUUUCAAAGGGGUCCAAUAAAUGAAGUAACAGAGCUGUGCUGUUUUUAAAACCUUUUGAAAAUGUAAGCUAACUAGAAAAAUCUCUUGGAAUGACAUUGAGACAAACUUGUGAGUUUUACUGUAAGAGAUUUAGUUAAACAAGAGUACGUGCUUACUCAACACCAUAGUCCUUUUGCAGGGCGCUCACACCAAGCGCAAGUAAAAUCAUCUACUUGCCUAAUUCGCGCGAAUCUAGACGCAAGAAUGAAUAGUAUUUGCUUGCUUCAUUUGCGCGUCAACGGUAAUUUCAACAGUAAUCCCUGCCAAUUCAACCAACGGGCUCGAGUGAUAGACAAAGAUUUUUUAUUAUUUACCCUGGUAAUCUGACCUCCUCUCUCACUUACCUCCAGGUGAGCUCCUUUUUAUUCCAGUUUCGGUAAUUGAAAGAAAAGGCACCCACACACUGACACGAUCAGUUUGUCCUCCGUUUUAGAUAUUUGUGAACAACCCUCCAUUUUCAUACGUCACCCGGCAUACUUCGCGCUGAUUGUUUAUCACAUAUCUGGUAUAUCUGCUCAAGUUGAGACAUUAUCAGCUCCCGCCCAAUUUGCGUCAUUUACGCCACCAAUUCCUACCGGAUCUGUUUGUGAGGCGAAUUUCGUGGUGAAUAUUGGACAGCAGGAAUUGCGAGAACUCACAAGAACCCGCAAUCGCGCGAUAACAAGUUGUCUUAAGCCACAUAGGCUAACCAUAUAGGCAGUAGAUUGGGUCCUUCCAGAGGAGGAAAUCUAUUUCUAGACUUCUAAAAUCUCCUCAUCCAUGGUGUCAUCUGAAUGAAAUGCUGUCUAUAAACUUUUCGCUUGUUCGUCCCUGCAUGUUGUAAAAUAUGAUCCGCCUGAAACACAGUGUUUUAUUUUGAAAAGAAGCCGAAUGUUUUAUUUUGUGUCUGUGCUCGACUUCCUUUCCAGCACAGGAUAAUCUCUGUUGAAUUUAUCUGGCAUGCUCUGGCGUCCAGGAAAAAUAGAACUCUUGCGAUCAGCUGUGGAGUCUGGCGAUCUGCAGUGGAACGGAAAGAAGCCGGUGGAAACUGAUUCAUUAACUUGAAUGGGUACGAUCAGAUCGGCGGAUACGGCCUUUUUGUAGCUGUUCUGGAUGCGGUAGAAAUUGGGGGUUGGUGUUGCAGUCACUGAGAGAGAAAUGCAAAUAAAUCCUGCUUCGAUAAAGUUCUCUGAUUUGCAAAUGCUGAUAAUAAUCUACCUCUGAGUUUCUCACUUAGGCUGUUAAAAGAAAACUUUGUCACACUGGAUGGAAAAAUGCGAUCUGCAGCUCACUUUUGUGGGCUUCAGUUUAUCUCAUAUGAAAACCCCAAACCACAAGUCAACACUCUGUGUAGAUGUUAGCCAAAGAUAUCACACAAACACCAAACAACUGAAGCAGAAUGUCAUCGUUACGGCUUUGUGUUUCAACCGCAAUGCAGUUUAAGUUUCCUCCUUAUUGAUCACUUGAUUUCGCAGAUUUGACAUGGGAGAGGUAGUUGUGUAUCUGCUCUCUUAGCCCAUCAAAGGACGGACAGUUUUCUCGCCUUUCUUUCCAAAACGACUUAAAUUACUUUCCCCAAAGAAGAGGAGUGAAGCAGUGAAUUCAAAGCAAUAAAGACACUUUCUACCCAUCUUCUCCUCCGUCCAAAUUCCACGUCUCUACAUCCGCCUCCACCCAUUCCUGGUCUCUGUCUGCGUAAACAAGUUAAUCAGCCUCAGAAGCCUGUGGGCUGUGAAACAAACCCCGGCCCAACGUCAAGCCCACGCAGCCAUCAAUCAUUUCAUUUGGACUUCGAGUGGAAAACUAAGCUAACACAUACAGGACUCACACCCAAGUCUGAGCUUAGCUAGCGCGGCUCUGCUGAAAUCAGCACCACAGAGCUGGCAGCCGCACAACCAGCAGCCGUAUGGACCAGACCCGAAAGAUAAACUGACACUAUUAGAGACUGAGUUAGACAGCGGCAACCGAACGCCUCCUC